rnacentral:miRNA from 1 species
GGGUUGGCCAAAAAAAGUUCGUUUGGGGUUUCCUAUAAGGUAGUAUAGAAAUGCCCAAACAAACUUUUUGGCCAACCCA